AACGAACGCUGGCGGCAGGCUUAACACAUGCAAGUCGAACGCACCGCAAGGUGAGUGGCAGACGGGUGAGUAACGCGUGGGAAUCUACCCAGUCCUUCGGAACAACACAGGGAAACUUGUGCUAAUACCGGAUACGCCCUACGGGGGAAAGAUUUAUCGGGAUUGGAUGAGCCCGCGUUGGAUUAGCUAGUUGGUGGGGUAAUGGCCUACCAAGGCGACGAUCCAUAGCUGGUCUGAGAGGAUGAUCAGCCACACUGGGGCUGAGACACGGCCCAGACUCCUACGGGAGGCAGCAGUGGGGAAUAUUGGACAAUGGGCGCAAGCCUGAUCCAGCCAUGCCGCGUGAGUGAUGAAGGCCUUAGGGUUGUAAAGCUCUUUCAGUGGGGAAGAUAAUG
rnacentral:rRNA from 1 species